AGUGGCGGACGGGUGAGUAACGCGUGAGAAUCUGCCUUGGGGUCGGGGACAACCACUGGAAACGGUGGCUAAUACCGGAUAAGCCGAUUGGUGAAAGAUUUAUUGCCCGAAGAGGAGCUCGCGUCUGAUUAGCUAGUUGGUGAGGUAAGAGCUCACCAAGGCAGCGAUCAGUAGCUGGUCUGAGAGGACGAUCAGCCACACUGGGACUGAGACACGGCCCAGACUCCUACGGGAGGCAGCAGUGGGGAAUUUUCCGCAAUGGGCGAAAGCCUGACGGAGCAAGACCGCGUGAGGGAGGAAGGCUCUUGGGUUGUAAACCUCUUUUCUCAGGGAAGAAGCUCUGACGGUACCUGAGGAAUCAGCCUCGGCUAACUCCGUGCCAGCAGCCGCGGUAAUACGGAGGAGGCAAGCGUUAUCCGGAAUUAUUGGGCGUAAAGCGUCCGCAGGUGGCGAUUCAAGUCUGCUGUCAAAGCACGGGGCUUAACUCCGUAAAGGCAGUGGAAACUGAAUAGCUAGAGUGCCGUAGGGGUAGAGGGAAUUCCCGGUGUAGCGGUGAAAUGCGUAGAGAUCGGGAAGAACAUCGGUGGCGAAAGCGCUCUACUGAACGGCAACUGACACUCAGGGACGAAAGCUAGGGGAGCGAAUGGGAUUAGAUACCCC
rnacentral:rRNA from 1 species